rnacentral:lncRNA from 1 species
AUGCAGCCUACUUUAGUAUUUUACUCUGUCUAACACCACAGGAUUUUACUUGUCAAGUGGACAGUGCUCCCACUCAAUGGGUUAAAGCAUAAAGAGUUCUAAAAUCCACAACAAUACUUGGGCGCGCAAGUAUGUUUUUGUCAUUGAGCAAGGAUUGAGAAAUAAUGCAGAAUAUAUUUAAUGCUUGUAUAUUUUCUUUGUCGUGAACACUUCAUUGUGUGCAGAAUGAUGUCAAGGCGUAAAAAAAUACCUGUGGUUCCAGUUUCAGAUUGUGAAAAAAUUAGGGUUGGAAAUAAAAAUUUUUUUCAUGGUUUUGGCGGUUUCUUGCUGGGC